UACGGAGGGGGCUAGCGUUGUUCGGAAUUACUGGGCGUAAAGCGCACGUAGGCGGAUCAGCAAGUUAGGGGUGAAAUCCCGGGGCUCAACCCCGGAACUGCCUUUAAAACUGUUGGUCUGGAGGUCGAGAGAGGUGAGUGGAAUUCCGAGUGUAGAGGUGAAAUUCGUAGAUAUUCGGAGGAACACCAGUGGCGAAGGCGGCUCACUGGUCCAUUACUGACGCUGAGGUGCGAAAGCGUGGGGAGCAAACAGG
rnacentral:rRNA from 1 species